GACGAACGCUGGCGGCGUGCUUAACACAUGCAAGUCGAACGGAAAGGCCCUGCCUUUGUGGGGUGCUCGAGUGGCGAACGGGUGAGCAACACGUGAGUACCGUGCACUUGCCUUUGGGAUAACUUAAGGCAACUGGGGCUAAUCCCGGCAAGGAGCUCCUGCUGCUUGGUGGGGGUUGGAUAGUUUCGGCGGUUGGGGAUGGAAUCGCGGCUUAUCAGCUUGAUGGUGGGGUAGUGGCUUACCAAGGCUUUGACGAGUAGCCGGCGUGCGAGGGUGACCGGCCACAUUGGGACUGGGAUACAGCCCAGACUCCUACUGGAGGCAGCGGUGGGGAAGAGUGCACAGGGGGCGGGAGCCUAGUGCAGCAACGCCGCGUGCGGGAUGACGUCCUUCGGUUUGGGUUCUGCUGUCGCCUGUGACGAAACGUUAGUGACGGUAAUGGGUAAAUAAGCACCGGCUAACUACGUG
rnacentral:rRNA from 1 species